AUAAUGGAAGAUACAUAAUAUAGUUCCAUAAAUUACUCCUAAAUUCCUUGAAUUAUGGAGACAACUCAUUCCCUACUCCUCUUCUCUUCUCCUUAAAUUAAGGAAAAUGUUAUAAAUUCUAACACUUCCCCUUCAUAAGAUUUUUCAGAAGUUAUGGAAUAAAACUUUUUUUUUAAUUUUUGAAUAAAUAAAUAGCUAUUGCAAAGAUAUGGUUCCUAUCUUCUUAAGAGUAAAGAGCAGGUGACCAGUUGGAAGGAGUCGCUGGUGUCAUGCAACCUUGUUGGAGAGAACACCGGCCAUAGGUGUCCUUGUGCUGGAGCAUGUGGCAGGGUCCGAAAUGGCUGUGGCAAUGCUUUGGAGGUAAGGGCAAUGACUCUGAUGACCUAAUUUGUAGGUCAGAUUGGCUAGCAACUGCAGUAUGGGUACUAAAGUCUACCUUCCUCUAGAAGAAUUCCACCUAAAAAUGAUAAGUGUCAUUUUUCUUUAGUGAUAGGAAAAAAUGUUUAGAGAAAUAGAGAAGUCCUUUCUUAGGCUUUGAGAAGAAAAAUAGAGCAGGGACUUCAAACCUUAACUCUGAUGAAACAGAAGAAAGUAGGGCCUUCAACCUUUGAUGGUCAAAUCGUGAAGAAGGAGAAGAAGAGGAUGAAUAGCCUUUGUGUUCUUUCUUUCUCCCUCCCUCCCCGUCUUUCUUCUUGUUCUCUCUUUCUAAAACUUAACAAACGAAUAUGAACUUUUUAAUUGUAAAUAAUAUUCAUAUUGUUGCUUUUGAUUUCUCAUUAUUAGAAUUUUUAAUUGUAAAAUUUUAUCAACUUGGCAAUCACUUUCGAUUUCUUAUAGUAAUGAUAGCUUUCAUAUUAUUGAAAAUAAAGUUUUUAGGAGGCAUGCUUUAGAAAUUAAUGAUUUGGGGUAUCUUGGAUAUUUGUGUUUCUUAAAUUGACAAGGAUUUGUAAUUGCUUGGUGUCCAUAUAAUCGUUCUUGAGUUUUGGCAUUAAGUUACUGUUAACUAAAUCAAUAAUAAAUUGUACUUUCAACCAAUUUAAUUUUCUUGUACUUGUAUUUUCAUUUAUCUUUGCCUGGUUCUAUAUCAAAUUAUUGCAAUGACUAUUGAAGCGUAACUUCAAAUAUAAGAACAUAAGAUGAAGAAGAAUGACACUAACUCUAUAUAUCUGCCUAAUUUGUGGAGAGUACAACUCUUGAUGUGUAAUGGAUAACUCAUGUACGUUAAAGAAUGGCUCUUAGGAGUGAUGCAUGCAGGAAGAUGCAGAAUGCAAUUAAAAUGGAGAACAAAAUUUGAACUUUUAGUUUUGUUGUAGUACUUGUUGGCAACAAAGAGGAGGUAGCAUUAACUCUUAGGAAUAAUCUAGUAAAUAUGAAUGUAAAUUACCAUUAGUUAUCUAUGAGAUCUAAAAAGAUAUUGAAUGUAGCGCUUUGUUUAAAUUAUCAGUUGAGGAACUCAAGGUAGGCAUUUAAUUAGCAAUUGGAUUGAAGGUUGAGGCACACACCCAUUAUCCAUGGAUGCGAUUGUUGAAACACAUGAAUAAGUAGUGCUCAAAGCAGACGUGCUUUAUCUAACCUAAUUGACUUAUUAAAAAAAUAGUAUGCUUCCAAAUAAUUGAGUUGCAUGGGAUAGAAGACAAACUCCUAUCUAAAAACUAAAAUUGCUUAAUUGAUGGGCUUUACAAAUGAAAGUCAACAAUGUUCUUCUCAAUCUCGGCUACGAGUAUCUACUAAAAUUGAUGGAUUUAAGGGGCCUAAAAAAGGGAAACACCAGAGACUAAGGAAUGGAACAUAAGAUUUUUUUUUUUCCUUUCUUUUUUUUAGAAAUUAAAUGUUAAUAGUUUCAAAAAACAGCCGUUACGUAAUGUAACAACCGUUAUUUACAGAUUUUAAAGGCUUUGUUACCUAUAUAUCAGUUAUACAUUGGCAAAAAAAAAAUGAAGGUGCAACAGACAAUAACGACCGUUAAUGUUAUUUACCAUUAAAUAAUGGCUAUUUCUCACUUGGGAUUCUUUUUUUUUUUUUUGCCGAAAGAGAGCAAACAAGUCAUUUCAGUCUUUCGUUUCUACUUUUUGAGGGGUUUCUUCUUCUGUUUCUCACUUUCUCUCUAACUUUCCAUUUAAAAUUUUCUAUCUCUUUAUAAUUCUUUUACUUUUUGAGUUAGUGAAGGUUAAUAUGAAGUGAAUGAGAGAAAUACACAUCCAUAUUUUUCAAAGGGUAACUUCUCUUUCUUUUUUUUUUUCUUAUUUGUUGAAGAAAAUUAUGU
rnacentral:misc_RNA from 1 species